CUUUCCUGUAGGAGCCAGGAAGAAAGACAUUCAGCUCUGGUCUGGGGAAGGA
ensembl:miRNA